CUCCUUACUUGUUUGUUUGUUUCUUAAAUUUAUUGGUAGACUCUGCCCCCAUCUCCCAUCUUCAUUAUAAGAAAACAAGUGAGGAAACAAUGAAAAUGACCCCAAAAAAGAAUAAUUAUAUCUUUGCAGGUGCUUCUUCCUACAGAGCAGUCAAACAGCGGGACACUUUCUGGCUUCACAGUUACUGCGCUCCUGACAGGCUCCUUCUGGGAGGUGAGCUCCAAGACUUUCUUCAGGUUGGUCCUGACUGCUCAAGUCUAUUCUUUCAUGCAUGCAUGCUGGCAUACUCAAGCAGCUUUACCUCAUGCCCCUUUCAGCACUGAUGAUCCCUUCUCCAAUUGCUGUGACAGAACUAAAAUCUUGCUGUGUUGACUGUUUCAGAGUCAUUGAUUGCCAGGCCAAAAGAGAUGCAGUAGCUGCUUUAUAAGAUGAAACAUCUUUACAUCUCUAGGAGAGUCAGAUUUGAUGUGCUUGUUUGUUUUGCUCAUCUGUGUGAUAUGAGGUUCACAUGAGCUAUUUUUGGUGUCAUCUCAAUAGAAGAAGUAUCAGGGGCUUUGCUUGUUUUCAUAUGAGGAUGACAAGCAGAAGUGCUGCAGGUUGGAGCGCAUCUUGUAUAGUUAUGUCUUUUCCUUCCGUUCUGCUUGAGUUCGUUUCUACUUUUUAACCCAAAGCAGCCUUUGAGCUUUUUCCAUGUACAGCUUCC
rnacentral:lncRNA from 1 species